rnacentral:ncRNA from 3 species
GGGAAAGAAGACCCUGUUGA